CGAAGACCAUCAGCAAACAGCCACGGAUCCAGAAGCUCUGUAGGGAGGAGGUGGGACAGAGUCUGUGCUGAUCAUAGAAAACUGGAGUCAGAAAUCGACGCCUCUCCUUUCCUCCCAGAAGAUCCACAGUGCUGCCUUUCUUCUCUGGCCCACGACACAUGGACAAUCAAGGUGUUCCCUUAAAUAAGCUCCCGAGCCCUGUAAGAGCCUGUGGAGCCCUGUAACACCCUCCCAUCAUCACCUCCACUGCCACCCCAGAACUUACCGAAGAGCCCCUCGUCAGUCAAUAGCUACCAAAACAGGGACCACUUGCAGAUCCAGAAGUCCCAAGGCUUUAGAUCCCUCAGGCUGAAAAGACACGUACAUGUGCCUGCAGUUGGAAGGUAGAAAGAGGGAGUGUUCCCAGCCCCAGAGGACCAUUUGCCUGCUCUGAUCUCUUUGCUACCCCCAUUUCCACCAGACUCCUCAGUUACAGAAUGAUUGCAAGCUGUGAACCCCUGGGGAAAGGCAGAAAUCAUCCAACCCAGAGGAUGUAGCUCUGCCUCCCAGAUGCCAUGUGCCUGUACUUGACGCACUGUGGCAUCUCAGCUGCCAUGGGGCUCAGAGCUGCUCAAGUCCUUGAAUGUGAAUGCUUUCUUCUCAGAAGAAAAUGUCAGUUAUGGGGACUUAAUCUGUGUCUCACCUGAAUCCCCAGGUCCUGGACUGUUAGGCUACAGCAGAGAAGUUAGGUGAGGUGGGGAAAGGAAAGUAGCUCAUGGCAUCUCUUCUGUAAAGAGAGAUGACACCGCAGGGGCACUCCCCAGUUGGAGAGAGUGAGGACAAGGCACUCGGUGGGUUGCUGUGUCCUGGAAUAGCCAGAAAUGGAGCAGCUGAACAUGAGCAGCCCCUCCCCUGGUACAGAGCUGGACAUGUGGCUCUGGUGUGUUUCGAGCAGGAGGAAGGACAGUGGGACUAUCCCCUGCCCUCCUCUGGCUCUAUGUGUCCAUUAACACAGCCUAACAGGUAACAUCUGAAGUCUUAGCUUCAACACUAGACCAGGCAUGUGGGC
rnacentral:lncRNA from 10 species